AAGGAUUUCAUCAUUGACUUAAUUGAAUGAAACGCAGAUCAUAAUCUCCUACUAUCUAAGAGUGACGAAUCCUUUAUUGAUCAAUCACAACCUUCAUACGAUUCUUGACGUACCCGAACGAUGUCGUAUUAGCGGCCCUCUUCAGAGCAACAUCCAACACCGCCAAAGUAUGACUGUCCUCAUAUAAGGUACCAUGACGACCUCAAGUCAAAGGACCAAUUUCACUACCGAACGUUAGAGAUUAACCACCGACACUCAGAUAGUUAUCCAUGUGGAAUCUCUCGACGGGUCUCCAAUAUUUUGUUCUAUAACAAACAUCCACGUGUUCAUUUAAGUGUCACCACACUUUAACUUGUGAGAUCAGCUACUUACUUCACAAGUAAGAAAUGCCACACGUGAUGGUCUAUCCGUAAUAACGAUAUCCGUAUCUCGUUAUUACUUACGACCACGGAUGAUUUAAGAUUCAAUCAGAUGUAAUUUGUAUCUCACAAUCACAACUCCUUGUGAUUAAUAAAUUACAAAUAUUUGAAUCUACGGACUCUAUUAUUUAUUUAAUUGUCUAUUAAAUAAUAGAUCUGCCAUUUAAUUGCAUUAAUUAUAUAUAAAAGUAUUUAUGUCCAAAGUCGAUUGGACCUAGGGCAUAAUACUUAC
rnacentral:lncRNA from 1 species